CAGCACCCCGAGUGGUCGGGACGAUUAUUGGGCCUAAAGCAUCCGUAGCCGGUUCUGCAAGUCCCCCGUUAAAUCCAGCUGCUCAACAGAUGGGCCGCGGAGGAUACUACAGAGCUAGGAGGCAGGAGAGGCAAGCGGUACUCAGUGGGUAGGGGUAAAAUCCGUUGAUCCAUUGAAGACCACCAGUGGCGAAGGCGGCUUGCCAGAAUGCGCUCGACGGUGAGGGAUGAAAGCUGGGGGAGCAAACCGGAUUAGAUACCCGGGUAGUCCCAGCCGUAAACGAUGCAGACUCGGUGAUGGGUUGGCUUCGCGCUAACCCAGUGCCGCAGGGAAGCCGUUAAGUCUGCCGCCUGGGUAGUACGGUCGCAAGACUG
rnacentral:rRNA from 1 species